rnacentral:sRNA from 1 species
CGUAACAAGGUUUCCGUAGGUGAACCUGCGGAAGGAUCAUUAUUGAAGCUCUGCUUUAUACACACUUGUGAACCGUGCCCUUCGGGGUGAUUAUACAAACACUAUUGUUGUCUUUGAAUGUCUUGUUAUAUCUAACAAAUAUAACUUUCAACAACGGAUCUCUUGGCUCUCGCAUCGAUGAAGAACGCAGCGAAAUGCGAUAAGUAAUGUGAAUUGCAGAAUAGUGAAUCAUCGAAUCUUUGAACGCACCUUGCGCCCUUUCGGGCAUGCCGGUUUGAGCGCCUUAUAGUAAUGGACUAUCAGAGUUUCUGUUAGACCGAUUUGAGUGUUGCCGCUAGGCUCGCUCUGAAUGCAUGAGCGGUUUGAAGCUUGUAACAGUGUAAUAAGUAUUCCAUUGAAGCAAGUCGACGGCUGCUACCAACCGCYUUUUGGGGCAAUACAACCAAUACUAGGCAUCAAAGUGGUAGGACUACCCGCUGAACUUAAGCAUAUCAA